ACAUUCUUAAACACUAAAAGUUUAUAAAUUCCUGUUUUUCAAAUCCUAAGACAGUUUCGAGAAACAGGCCCCGGGUAACAAACUCAAACCGAAGAAAACUUAUCAACUAUAAGAAGAUAAAAAGCGGACAACAUGAUACCAAUAUUAUUUUUAAAGUUUAUUCAGAUACAAAGAAAAUGUUCUCCUUAUGAUGACAUUACAAUGUACAUCUACAGGAUACAACUCCCAAUUAUGAUUUUAACACCACAAGAAAUAUUCAUCAAAGUUAUUUUAUAUUAAUGAAAACAACAAAUUUUAACAAACUUCCUAGCUCUGUUUAUUUUCCAGUGGGUGCACUGCACAUGUAUUUCACUAACAUGUACAUUCACGGAUGUAAAUAAUGAUUUGUUAUGACAUUUAAAUGCAAACGACGCAAGUGUGGUAAAAUUAUGUCAAGUGUGCGUUGAGUUGAACAAACAGAUAUGAUGCAUGCUGUUCAUUUUUCAUUGCUAAAUAACGAAAACAAUAUUAGCAAUUUACACGUUUUAAGUUUAAAUUGACAGUGAAGAUAAGCAAAUGCAGAAUUGAAGAUAUGAAUAAUGGAAUUGAAGAAAAGGAGGUUAUUUCCGUCGAAAGAGAAUAUUCUGUCCUUGUUUUAGCAUCUACAACAUUAUAUACCGAACCAUUGACCUGGAAUGAAGCUAACCAAUAUUGUAAAAGUAUAGGACAACAUUUAGUGACAAUUGAUGAACAAGCGAAGUGCUCAGCAACUUCUACACGAAGCUUUACUGGACAUGAAAGACAAUACUUCUAACUUUGAAGGAUACUUUUGGAUAGGACUUCAUGUUCCAGAUCCAAAUCAACCAACUAACCGUGAAUGGACAAAUGACUGCGUUUUAUCAGAUUCGUUUUCAAACUGGUCACCCGGAUUAAAAUAUUGGGAAUGACAAUUUCUGUGCUUAUGUGGAGGUAGAAGACGAUGACAUACAUUGGCUUUUAGCUGAAUGUGGAACAGACACAAAAACACUUAUAUGUGAUGCAUGCGAGAUCAACUAUUUAUAUAUGUUAAAAAAAGACCGUACUGUCCCCAUUAAUGGAUUUCUUGUACAAAUUGGAACUUGGAUGAAGAGUUGUCUCAUCGGCACUCAUACCUAAUCUUCUUAGAUCUAUUAUAAUUUAUUUCAAAGUUAACCUCUCCGACAACGGUAGUUUAUAUAUAAAUCUAAAAGAUUAGAAUAUAAUGCAUUUGUCUGUACAAAAAUGUACAAAUACUUGUUCGACAUAUAUUAUCAUGAAGGAAGUUAAAUCAAAUACUAGUAUAUAAUUCACAUUUGCGUAUGACAGUCAGUACAAAAUUAUUUGAAUAAGCUGUAAUUAUUGAUUGAAUAUAUUCUAACUAAGUACGGUCGACCUUUAGAUUUGAGGCCCUCCUGGAGUGUCCUUUUAUCUAACUACAGAAAGGCUACACACAUAUUUUGACACAAUUUAGUGAUUAAAAAGUGGCGAAAAUACCAGAAGGACCUACA